rnacentral:rRNA from 1 species
AUAUUGCACAAUGGGGGAAACCCUGAUGCAGCGACGCCGCGUGAGCGCAGAAGGCCUUCGGGUCGUAAAGCUCUGUCCUAAGGGAAGAAACGGACGGUACCUUAGGAGGAAGCCCCGGCUAACUACGUUCCAGCAGCCGCGGUAAUACGUAGGGGGCGGGCGUUAUCCGGAAUUACUGGGCGUAAAGGGUGCGUAGGCGGCCUCUUAAGUCAGAUGUGAAAGGCUACGGCUAAACCGUAGUUAGCAUUUGAAACUAAAAGUCUUGAGUGAAGGAGAGGAGAGUGAAAUUCCUAGUGUAGCGAUGAAAUGCGUAGAUAUUAGGAGGAACACCAGUGGCGAAGGCGACUCUCUGGACUGCAACUGACGCAGAGGCACGAAAGCGUGGGGAGCGAAC